AGUGGGGUUUAUUCACAUGGCUCGUACACAUCUUGAGCUUCUAAGAGAAAGCCAGAUAAAAAUCUAACAAAGAAAUCAGAUGUUCAGCCAGCACCUUCUUUUUGAUAGAAACCCAAUAUUUUCCUUCAUUUUCCAUCAUUCUUCCAGCACUUCAUAAGGUAAGCAUAUGACUCAUCUUCUGUCCCUGGAUGACAUGUUCACAAUAUUGGUAUGUUUGCUGUAUCUGGAAAUGGGCCAAACCACCACAUGCAGAGGACAUAGUGCCUGAGGGAAACCUAGGCAAGACCUCAAGGAGAUCACGUAGUAAACACCAUAGAAACCGCAAAACUCUGAGACAACAAUCUUGAAGACGGAUGUCCAAAAUAAAUCUUCAUAAGCCCCCAAA